UACGUAGGGUGCGAGCGUUGUCCGGAAUUAUUGGGCGUAAAGGGCUCGUAGGCGGUCUGUCGCGUCGGGCGUGAAAACUCAGGGCUUAACCCUGAGCCUGCUUCCGAUACGGGCGGACUAGAGGUAUGCAGGGGAGAACGGAAUUCCUGGUGUAGCGGUGGAAUGCGCAGAUAUCAGGAGGAACACCGGUGGCGAAGGCGGUUCUCUGGGCAUUACCUGACGCUGAGGAGCGAAAGUGUGGGGAGCGAACAGG
rnacentral:rRNA from 1 species